rnacentral:lncRNA from 1 species
CUCUAAAAACCUGGUUGUUUCUUCAUUUUUCUAGAAAUCUCAGCUAGUUUUCCAGUUCCAAAACUAAAAAUACACAAAAAACAUUUAAAAAAUAGAAAAAAAAAAAAAAGUGAUGAUUGUUCCAUUGGUUCGAAAAUAGCUUCAAUUGAGAUCUUUUGUUCUUUGCUGUUUGGGUUUCAAUUUCAAGCUGUUUUAUCAGAUUUCAUGGAUCUAGUAGUUUUGCUGGGUUCUAGUUGUUCAAGUUCAUUUUCUGAGUUAAUUUGCUAGCAUUUGUGAACUUGGUUUGAAUGAAUCUGGGUCCAAGUAAGCUGCAUUUGUUUGAGUCUUAGUCUGGGUCAGUUUCAAGCUUGUUGUGACUGUUUUAGCUGGUUUGGGAGUGAAUCAGUGGUGCUGUGAUACUGCUUAUUGCUUCCUGCUGCUGUGAUUUGCUACUUGAAUUUCUGCUGGCCCUCCUCUUUUCUUUGGAUACUGUGCACUUCCAGGUACACAUAUGAACUUGGCUUUGAUGUAACUUUUGAAGGGAAAUGAAAGCUGAAAGUAUUUUAC